UACGUAGGGUCCGAGCGUUGUCCGGAGUUACUGGGCGUAAAGCGCGCGCAGGUGGCUCGGUAAGACUGGCGUGAAAGCCCCCGGCUCAACCGCAAGCGGUCGUGGGAAACUGGGUGGCUAGAGUGCGGGAGAGGAGAGUGGAAUUCCUGGUGUAGCGGUGGAAUGCGCAGAUAUCAGGAAGAACACCCGUGGCGAAGGCGGCUCUCUGGAACGCAACUGACGCUGAGACGCGAAAGCGUGGGGAGCAAACAGG
rnacentral:rRNA from 1 species